AUGCUAUUGCUGUGUGUUCUCCUGUGCCUGGUGACAGUUCCCCAAGGUGUCCUGUCCCUGGUGCAGCUUCAGGAGGCAGGUCCAGGACUGGUGAAGCCCUCCCAGAAGUUGUCCCUCACCUGCACUGUCUCUGGUUUCUCCAUCACAAGCAGUGGUUACUGCUGGAACUGGAUCCGCCAGCCCUCAGGGAAGGGGCUGCAGUGGAUGGGAUGCAUAGAUUAUGAUGGUGAUACAUAUUAUAACCCGUCCUUCCAAAGCCGACUCUCCAUCACCAGAGACACAUCGAAGAAUCAGUUCUCCCUGCAGCUGAGCUCCGUGACUCCUGAGGACACGGCCAUGUAUUACUGUGCAAGGAGCACAGUGAUGGGAAGUCACUGUGAGCCCACACACAAACCUCCCCUGCAGGGGAGACACUGGGCAGCAGGGGGCGCGCAGGACCCACUGAGCACAGACACCAGCCCUAGACGGACACAGAUGGAUGACAGGGAGGUUUUCCUGUUGGAAUGA